CCUAACACAUGCAAGUCGAACGGUAACAGGAAGAAGCUUGCUUCUUUGCUGACGAGUGGCGGACGGGUGAGUAAUGUCUGGGAAACUGCCUGAUGGAGGGGGAUAACUACUGGAAACGGUAGCUAAUACCGCAUAACGUCGCAAGACCAAAGAGGGGGACCUUCGGGCCUCUUGCCAUCGGAUGUGCCCAGAUGGGAUUAGCUAGUAGGUGGGGUAACGGCUCACCUAGGCGACGAUCCCUAGCUGGUCUGAGAGGAUGACCAGCCACACUGGAACUGAGACACGGUCCAGACUCCUACGGGAGGCAGCAGUGGGGAAUAUUGCACAAUGGGCGCAAGCCUGAUGCAGCCAUGCCGCGUGUAUGAAGAAGGCCUUCGGGUUGUAAAGACUUUCAGCGGGGAGGAAGGGAGUAAAGUUAAUACCUUUGCUCAUUGACGUUACCCGCAGAAGAAGCACCGGCUAACUCCGUGCCAGCAGCCGCGGUAAUACGGAGGGUGCAAGCGUUAAUCGGAAUUACUGGGCGUAAAGCGCACGCAGGCGGU
rnacentral:rRNA from 1 species